UUUCCGUAGGUGAACCUGCGGAAGGAUCAUUAGUGAAUUCAAUUUCUCUUCGGAGAGCGCAGCAUGGGCCCUUGUGCCCAUGUUGUGAUUCCAAAUCCUCAACACCUGUGAACUGUCUGUCAAGAACAAGGCUUCGGCCUUGGACUUGUACAUUUUACCAAACUUACUCUGUAAAAAAUGUCAAUAUAUUAUAAACAAAUAAAACUUUUAACAACGGAUCUCUUGGCUCUCGCAUCGAUGAAGAACGCAGC
rnacentral:misc_RNA from 1 species